UAUGGCCUGACAACUGAUAUGUAGGUUCCAACCUGUGAUCUGAACCAGCGAAUCCUAGGCUGUGGAAGUGGAGGGCCCAAACUCAACCACUAAGCCACUGGGCUGGCCCCUAAAAAUAUAUUUCUUUGCUCUCACUCCAACUUGUGUUUUGAGCGCAAGUAGUAAGAAUGAAUAUGCUUCUCAUAUGUAACCUAGGCACAUAGACCAAAUGCCAAAAGAAACCAGCUAGUAAGCCUCUCCUGCCCCCAACCUUCACUGUGGGCCUUUAUCUUCUCUUCAGGGGUGUCUGUGCCUGUCGGGCAAGCACAGGGAGGGAUGGGGGAAUCAGUCCGUAUGGUGUUAGUAAAGUUUGAUUUUCUUAUUUGGCUUAAAAAAAAAGGAGCAAGGGGCCGGCCUGGUGGCGCAGCAGUUAAAUUCGCACGUUCUGCUUCUCAGCGGCCCGGGGUUCGCCAGUUCAGAUCCCGGGCGCGGACAUGGCACUGCUUGGCAUGCCAUGCUAUGGUAGGCGUCCCACAUAUAAAGUAGAGGAAGAUGGACACGACGUUAGCUCGGGGCCAGGCUUCCUCAGCAAAAAAAAGAGGAGGACUGGCAGUAGUUAGCUCAGGGCUAAUCUUCCUCAAAACAACAACAACAACAACAAAAACAAAAGAAAAAAAAAGGAGAGAGAAAGGAGUUGUAAUAGUUUCUUUCUGUAGCCCAGCGUUCACCCAUCUGCAUGCCUUAUAUAAAAGGAAAGCAGGCUCAGAUCCAGGUUUUGUGGAACUUGGGACUGUUACAAUUUCUGAGGAGAGGAAACUAAGAAAAAGAAUACAAACAAAGUCUUACUUUUGCAACUUCUACAAACUCUGUGACCCUAGGAACACGGCUAGAGCGGUCCCAAGUGGAGGGGAAGAGGACCCUGCGGGGGAUCUCGCAUCUCCCGCAUGGAGGUGGGAGAAGCGCCUUCAGCAAUUUGAGGAGGCUGCUCCUGAAAACGAGCAAGCUUGGGAAAGAGGGCUCUUUUGCAAAAGAUUGCUUAGUGGACUGGAAUUUAAAUUUCCUUCGCGGAUUGGGUCCUCUUCACCGGGCCUUCACUCUUAGAAAAGCCUGCCUUCUGUGCUAAACUGUUCAAAAAACAAUCCGGGCAGCACUGGGGCUGGGAGCUCUGGAGCUGAUAAGGAGCGAGCUCAAAGGUUUAGAUAACAUCACAGCCAUUCACGCUGGCCGUCUUUUCUCUUCCCUCCUAAAACUGAGGGCUGGAGUCUUGGGUAGCAGGGCUCGCGGCUCGAGAAGAAGGAAGCAUAGAUUUUUGGUAAAGAACAGUCUGGACUUAUUAAAGACGGUCACACUGCUUCGGCCCGGUCAGGGGGGCCCAUUCUCCCUCUUCCUUGCAGGCGAGAAAUUUGAGAUGAAACUGGUCUUGCAGAAAUCUCAGCUGUCUCCCUUUUAAGGCAUUGUUUUCAAUGUAAGAGGGCAAAGGAAAACCCAAGAAAAGGCCGAGGCUAAUAGAGGACGUCGAGGGCCUGAAAACACUGCAAUCAAGGGGAGAGCCGGGGGCGCCGAAUUGAAGCAGGGGAAAUAAAGCUUCCACUGGGGGCCUGAACGUGCUGGCAAGUGGCAAUGCCCGAGAGAGUCUAUUUUUAAAGAAUCACAGAUCCAUUCCUGCCCUCAGCUCCUUACUCCACCUGCGCGCCAGGCGGGGCGCCCGCCUCCAGGCCCCUGCGGCCCCCUCCGGCCUGAUACUGCAUAACACGCCUCGGGUAUAUCGCGCUGCAGCGCCGCGCUCCUCGUUCACCCGAACCUGUAGGGCAGCAGCAUCCUGUCCACCCGGACUCCCCUGGGGACUGCGCAGGAGAAAGGGGCAAGAAAACUCUUUGAAACACAAACAACCGAUUCACAGUAAGGCGGGCGCCGUGUUUACCCACCCGAAGCCAGGCAGCCACGUGACUGGUGGAGGCCACGUGACAAGUUCACGUACGGCCAGGUUACUGGUUGACAGGGGCCACGUGAUUGGCUGACGUUCUGCCCUGUGAUUGGCUGAAUUGCUUCACGUGACUGGUUACGUCCUUCAGUUGGACGCUGCGAGGGGAGGACGGUGGCGGAGGCGAGAAGGCGCAGACGUGCGUGGGGCCGAGUGGCUGCUGGUUGGAGCCGCCGUGAGGGCAGGAGGAGGUCCAGCACCAGUCCCGGCUCCCUGGGGUGGGGAACCCCACAGCCCGUGCCCUCCUCUUGGCCCUUCCUGGGCGGCCGGCCGGCGUCUUCUUCCGGGGCAGGUCUGAGCCGCUUGGGGCGCUGGGAGCCGGCCCCGGGGAAAUGAAGAAGCGGGUUAUUGGUGAGAGGAAGCCCGCGGUGCGGACAGACCUGCUGGAAAGCGGGAGCGUCGAGGGAACUUUAUCGAAUUCGUGUCCAAAAUGAGCUCCAGAAGUGAAGAUGUGUCCAGAAUUCGCUCAGAUAGCGGGAAACUUCGCCUUGGUUUAAUCGGACACGUGGCUCUGCGGAGGGAGACGGCGUGUGUUAGUCCCGAGACCCUGCGACGCGGGGCGGCCACAUGGCGCUGUGGGGCCGGCGGGGAGCGGGGACGCCUUCCCGGCCUCUGCCUCUGAGCAGGCCAGGUCAGGAGCAGAGGGCGGCGGGUCCCCACGUUUACCGCACGGUAACCGUCCGGCUGAGAACUCGCUGUCUUGGCGCAGCCUCCGUGCCCUCGGCCACGUCUGCCACCUGAGUUGCCGCUGCUGAGCCGCGUGCCUGUGAGUGCGCGGCUUGCACCCCGGAGUCCCAGCUUCCUGGUAAAUGUGUUGUAUGUGUAUGUGUAAACUCCUGCCGGGGCCCCACCCACAGUUGGGUUUAGCGAAGGAGCCGGGAGCCUGUCAUUUAGGCUCCGCUGCCACCUGGUGGCCGCACGCCUGGAUUUAACUCCAGCGUUUAUUUUUAUGGUUCUGUUUUUUGAAAGAGAAGCAAGUCUCCUGUAAACGUUGAAGAUGUGAACCCUCAGUUAUGAAGCGUGGAAACACACGGCAGGAGAAGGGAAGCAGUGAGGGUCAGGUCAGGACGGGGAAGUUGGACAGUUUCCACGGCUUUCUGAUUUUGGGCUUCCUAGGACUGCAGUCACCUCUUUGAAAUGUUUGAAUUCCCAAGGUAUCAGAGGCCCCCAAAAUAAAAGGACCACAUCGUAUACCAAAGACGAGAUGUCAACUAUUGGUGUUAUCUAUCAUUAGUUUUACUCUUUUUCUCCAUGUGGAUGUCAAGUUACUUUCAGUGAGCCCGUUUAUUACGUUUAAAAUGAAAUGCAGACGACACUGACCUAAUGCCACACGUUCACCCUUGAACUCUGGCCCUUGCUCUGGACAAGUCUGGAGGAAACCAGCUCUGAGCAGAAGUAACCCAGCAAAGGAGAGAAUACUUCUUCCUACUCCAGAAAGGAAGGAACAAGACAAAGAUGCCUGCUUUGACCUCUGCUAUUCAGCAUUAUGUUGGAAGUUUCAGCCAGAGCAGAAAGAAGAGAGAUGGAAGGAAAUUCCUAAUUCAGAGUUAAGAGGAGGGAAAUCUGAGUGUCUAAAUUGAAGUUCUGCUGCUCAUUUUCUCAGUUUUCAGGGUGUCUAGGGAGAAGAGUCUUAGGAAUGUCCUCCAACAAAAGAGAAGGUCAAACAAUUAAAAAAAGGGUAAGUGUUGAAAAUAUGAACCAAAGAUUUCCUAGUGAGGAUGGAAGAGAAAGAACCUCUCUGGAAUUCUUUUAAAUGAAGGGAAAACACAACUGCAGUGACAUCUGAAAAAGAGUCCAAGGCAGAUGUAAAAGAAGCGGAUAUCAGAAACAGAAAUAAACAGGAGUGACAAGUUCGAAGUAACUCUGUCCUGAGAGGAGAUGGCAGUCAUCUCUUUCCCAGGCCGUUGGAGGAUGCAGUAGGAACGUCGCAGUGGUUUAGGAACUGUCAGACACGUGGCCACGCUCUGAGUGUGUUCCUUGCACGUUCUCUAGCUGAAGCUGCUGCUGCUCGCAUAAAGCCGAGCUCAUGCAAGGUUGGAGUGUUGCGGAAAUCCGCGCUAAGCUCAGGAGAUCCAGCUCCGUUUCACGGCAGACCUUUUGAAAAUUGCCAGGAGGCAAAUGUAGGUCUGAGGCCAAUUUGGAGGGUUUGCUCUAAAAUAGUACGUUUAUUUAUACCUGAAUUUGAAAAUUGUCUUUGUGCAACGGUCGCUCGCUAUCAGCCCAGAGCUGGCUUUCCACCCAGGCCUCGAGAGUGUAAUCAGCUGUUUGGGUUUCUCAUUCUGUGGUGAGUUUGUGAGUCCUGCCACACCGGAGUGAAAGGAAAUAUUUCUUCUAAGAUGUUAAAUUCCCACCCAAGUAAGCCGAUCAUCUCCCCAAACCUAAGGAUGUGUUUCAUUUAUUUGAGAAUGAAUCAUUCCAUUUCCCCUGGGAACUCGGGGUCUCUUCCCCGGGGUGCCUGGCCUGGCAGCUGAGGGGCGGUUGGGUCGUGUGUCUUCCCGAAGACUCCCUAACUGACACCUUGCAGCCCUGCGUGCCUGUCCUCGCUGGGGAUGGAUGGUGGCACCCAGGACUUUAAUAUUUUUUAACUUACUGAGUCCAAUUACCCUGCGGGCAGUUGAAAAGAUCUCACAAAGUUUAUUUCCUCCCUCCCCCUCGAACCCUCAAGAAAAAAAAAGAAAUCAUACCGAUGUUUAAAAAGGAAGCAAACAACCUUUUCUGAUGUCCUUUGAACUCCUGCUGGAUUAAUGCCCCACUGGCCUGUUUGAUUCACCAUUCUCCUACGAGCCAGAAGCAGUGUGCCCACUGUCCAUGGCUGAGGUGUCCACCUGUUGUGAGGCCAGCAAUGGUGCCAAGUGCAGCAGUGUGGGCUGCCCCACAGUCAAGUGCACAUCCCACAAGCCUUUUGUAUUAAGACCUAGUAGCCUUUAGGCCUCCAGAACAAUGGCUGCAAUGUGGAUUCAUUUCCUACAGCUGCUGGAACAAAUUAUACAAACUGGAUGGUGUAAAACCACAGAAAUUUAUUCUUUCACAGUUCUAGAGGCCCAAAGCCCCAAAACAAGGUGUUUGCAGGGCCAUGUUGCCCACAAAGGCUCUGGGGAACGAUCCUUCCUGGCCUCUUCCAGCUUCUGGUACUUGCCGGCAAUCCUUGAUGUCCCUUGGCUUGUGGCUGCAUCACUGUGGUCUCCGUCUCCCUCUUAACACCGUCUUCUCCAUGUGCGGCUGUGUCUUCAUAUGGCACUCUCCUCUUGUCUCUGUGUCCAAAUUUCCCUCUUCUUAUAGGACACCAGUCAUUGGAUCUAGGGCUGACCCUAACCCAGAGGGACCUCAUCUUGAUUAUAUCUACAGAGACCCUAUUUCCAAAUAAGGUCACAUUCCGAGGUUCUGGGUGAUGUGAAUUUGGGGGGACACUAUCCAACCCAGGACCCAACACUCCGAAGCAGAGCGAGGGCCCAGCAGGCUCAGCCCCUCCGGCUGCAGGUCAUCGCCAAUGUGACGAGCACGGUGCAAGAAAGGACUCUGCCUUCUCGCCCCUGGCUGAGGCAUGAAACAAUUCUUGGUACUAAAUAUGGUACAGGUUCAUUACACAAACACUUAUCAAGAGCUUACUGUGUGUCUGCCGUUUUGCCAGGCGACACGGAGGAUACAGCAGUGCCUGAAAUGCAGUCCUUGGCCUCGGUGGAUUUUCACCAUUUCCCUUAAUGAACUUCAUUCCACUAGUAACAGUAAAACGAGCAGUGAUGAGAGGCAUUCUUUGACAGUUCUUCCAAUUACUAAGAUUUGCGGUUUGGUCACACGUAGCCACAAAAAAAUGCCCUAAAUUAAUAAUUUUUUUAAAGUAUCAAUUUGUAUCUUUUGAAAUAUAAAAUAUGUUUCUUUCGAAAUACUGGGCCCAUUGAAAUAGCAGUUCUGAGAAUGAAAGGGUGAAGCACAGUAAAAUUCUAAUUGGUCCUUUUGUCUCAAAGUAUUUGGAGUGAGAUGAUCGGGGAAACGAUAUUACUAAAUACAAUAUUUUGAAAUAUCAUGCCCCUUCAUUUCAUGCAAUAAAAAGGAAAGAUAAAGUUACAAAUCUGAAGUUAUAUCAGGAAAAAAAUAGUCUCUGAAAAUAGCAAAAGAAUCCCAGGGUAAUGGCCCACCAUUUGGGUAGUAUCCCAAAUUCUUGCAAAAAGACAGAAAGGAAACAUGUGUCAGUAGAAACUCUCCCAAUUAUUAAGCUUCUUAGCUCCUUAUUAGAUUGAAUAACUAGAAAACAAGUUAAUGUUAAUAGUAUCUUUUGAUUAGACCUGAAAUCUUGUGCAUUGCUCACAACGCUUGGCCAUUCAGAAUCAUGUUUGUAGAAGUGACUCAAAUUCAUGUAAAUCAUGUUCAUAUAAAUUUUGUCUCCAUCCCUCUUCUCCUUCCCAUCUUCUUUCCUUCUUUCCUUCCCCUCCCUUCUCUCCUUCUUCCUUUUCUCUUGAUUAUAUUUUUCUUCAAUUUGCCUUUUUUUUUUUCAGUUAUGCUUAGGCCUGCCCACAGCCUCUGCAGUCGUUAACAGUUCUUAGUCCCACAGGUAACUCAAGGCUAGGGAGAGUCACCUAGCCCAGCGCUUCUCAAAGUCAGUAUGCCCACAAGCGACCUGCACUGCCUUGUGCAAAUGCAGACCUUGUCAGUAGGCCUGGAGUGAGCCCGCGAGUCCACGUUCCUGACCAGCUCCUGGUGUGUGGGCCACACAGAGCGAGGAAGGAGAUCCCUCGGUGAGAUUCCCCGGCACCUUUGUGAUGUUCAGGUACAUUUCCUUUCCCUUCAAUGUAGAGAAGACACCAAAGAGGUAACCGGGCGAGGGGAAGGGGUGAAGUCCCAGAAUUGGGGGAUGUGUGGGGGGGAAAGAGGUAGGAUUCGGAGGAUGUGACAGCACAGUCCUGAACGAAGUGAGGAGGGAGCUUCCUGGCUGGGUUUGCUUCCCUCCAGGUUGAGAAUCCAACAGAUGACCAGCCGAGGGGACGAAAUGGACAGUUACCAGGCAAGGCCUUCAGAAACCUCUAGAUGCGGGACGCAGAGUGUUCUCGGGACUCACGCACAUACCAUCAGAUUGGUGGGCUCCAUGCUCGCACUUCCCGUUGCCGUUUUAACCAUUCUCUGAUCUUGUCCGGAUUUUGAACAUCUCUCAGAGGAGAGGGGCAUUUCCUGGGACCAACAAACAUCCAAAUUAACCAUUGCCAGACCACCCACCAUGAUUCAUGCUAAGGUCACUUAGCGAACAAAGAAGAAAGACUGAAAAAGCCAAUUCACUGCUGCCAAGGAGGGUGUGUGCAAGGAGCUGCACAGUAUGAACACCAAAGCUUCAACGUGAGUCAUCACUGAUUCACCACCUUCAUUUUCUUCUUGAUGCUUAAAUUGUGUUCUCAAAGGCCAGCUCCUCCGAAACAACAGAUCCAAACUGCUGGCAACAUUUACAGCCUGUGGCAUUUCAGUUGAAGUGACAGAGCCAUACUUAAACAUUGGAAAUUGAAAAUAAUCUCUUCAAAUGACAGAUCCUUGCCUUUUGUUACAACGACCAUGUCCUUUAUAUUUCUUUACUUUAGGACUUUCUCUUCAUGUUAACAAUCAAGUGAUUACCAUAUUAAGGUUGCUGCAGUGUGCAAAUGGUUAUAAAAUAAAUGCAAACAAUAAUAAAUAUUCUUAUUGCUCUUCUUGUUACUAUUCCAAUAGUGGUAAAUCUGGGCCAUUCUUGACUGCUAUACAAGAAACAAGGUGAGACGAAAAGGAAGUCCUCGACAGUUUGCCCUAUUUUGGCUGCUUACGAUCGGACGCUCACGAGGCCAAGAUCAUAGGCUGAAUUUUCUUAUGGGCGCUGUGACUACAUAUCCCAUAUUUUUCUGAGACAGUCAUAAUUCCAGAUAUUGUUUUGUUAUUUUCAUCCAUUCAAGUUGGUCAGGCCAUGAGUCUCCAUUUGUUAUUGGAUGUCUUAUCUAAAGAUAUGUACCCCUGGGCAAGGAGGUGUGUCACAUCUUUCAUCUAGAAGCCUCAUGAGAGAGUGUGGAUCAAAGCAAGUCUGUCCUCACCAGCUUCGGGGACAUCCUAGUGGCGCAUCCAUGGUGCCAUCUUCCCGUGUAAGAGAGAAGUUUGCAGUAAAGGUGUGGUGAGUGGGAUGUUUAAGUGGUGAAUAAGUGAAGUAAAAAACUACUUUCUUUGUGAAGUCUAGGUGCUGAAGUUUUUCAUAUUCCUUUAAAUAUUUUGAACUUUAUUCUGGGACACAGUUAAAUUACUUGGAAACAUUUGAUCCUUUUGGAUCCAGCCUUCAAGCUCUGUUAGGCAGGACCAGAACAGUGCCGAGUCCAGGGCCAAUUUGGCCUCACUUCUAAGACAAUACCCCCAAGUACUCAGUGCUCCGUGCAUCAUGACGUUUCUCCACUCUGCUGUGGGAAACAUGAACUAUUCCCAGCCCUGCAUGCGAGCUCUGAGAAUUUUUCCAUCUGAUCCUUUCUGGUGGUUUUUCCUCGGUUUUGCGUAGUUUCCUGACGUGCAUGUUCUGGUCAAUACUCAGCCGAAACCUUGAGAUGGAGCCUCUGCAGACUGCUCCUGUGCGUCUUUCUCCCCUCUGGUACUCCACCCUGAGAAUUCUAGCUGCCUCAGCCUCCCCGAAUUCUCAACUCUGUCUCCUCAACUAAGGAGACCACCGGGGGCUUGGGUUCCCCCUCCUUGCACUGUGGCCUGUCCCCCUCUGCAGGCAGAAAACUGGGGCAGCUGUGGGGCCCGCCCUGUUUCUUUCCCUUCUCACAAGGAUCACUGUCCUGCAGUGCUUAUUGUCCAAUGUCUGAAAGCC
rnacentral:lncRNA from 1 species